ensembl:snoRNA snoRNA:660 snoRNA:660
CCCGGUCUACUCACCUGUCUCCUGCUCAUCUGGUCCUGCUAUUUGUGGUGGUUCUGGGUGUGUGGGCGGCUGGUGCUCCACCGGCAAAAACAACAA